UGUAUGUGUGUGUGUGUGUGUGUGUAUAUAUAUAUAUUGCUAUAUAUAUACACACACACACACACACACACACAUA